CUGUUCCUCGGGGGGCAGCAGUGGGGAAUAUUGCACAAUGGGGGGAACCCUGAUGCAGCAAUGCCGCGUGGGUGAAGAAGCACUCCGGUGCGUGAAGCCCUGUCAGCAGGGAAGAAAAUGACAGUACCUGACCAAGAAGCCCCGGCUAACUACGUGCCAGCAGCCGCGGUAAUACGUAGGGGGCAAGCGUUAUCCGGAUUUACUGGGUGUAAAGGGAGCGCAGGCGGCGUGGCAAGUCAGAUGUGAAAACCCGGGGCCCAACCCCGGGAGUGCAUUUGAAACUGCCAUGCUGGAGUGCCGGAGAG
rnacentral:rRNA from 1 species